rnacentral:RNase_P_RNA from 1 species
AAAGUCGGCCAGGCAAUCGCUGGAUGCUUGCAGGCAACUGCGGCAUCGGGAGGAAAGUCCGGGCUCCACAGGGCAGGAUGCCAGCUAACGGCUGGGUGCUAUAAGUCGCAAGACCCAAGGCAACGGAAAGUGGAACAGAGAGUAGACCGCCUGCCGAGGGCAACCCCGGUCGGUAAGGGUGAAACGGCGAGGUAAGAGCUCACCGCGUCGGCGGCAACGUUCGACGGCACGCUAAACCCCAUCCGGAGCAAGACCAAAUAGGGAAGCUUGGGCGUGGCCCGCGCUGCUUCCGGGUAGGUUGCUUGAGCCUGUCGGUGACGG